GUGCCUCCAGCCUUGGCACAUAAAAACUCUUACCUAUUCCUACACACACUUUCUUGUCUUCCCUGCUGGCUGAACACAGAGGCUCUAUGGGAUGGUGGAUUCCUAAGAUGGGAAGAGCCUAGGUACCCACCUGCAAGCUAACCAGCAUUAAACUGCAAGGAAAGUGAGAGCUCUUCCCAGCAAGAUAUGGAGUCUAUUUCUCCACCUUGAAUCUGAGCAGGCCUUAUGACCUGAUUUGGCCAGAAGAAUGCGGUGGAAGUGACAUUGUACAUGUCUGAGCCUGGGCCUCAAGAAGCCUUGCAACUUCUGCUUCUGCUGAUCUUGGCACCUGCCCUGCUUACUGCUGCUCAUGAAGAAGCCUGGCCCAGCCUGUUGGAUGAUGAGGAGCCGGGGGUGCAGCUACAUUCAAGAUCAAUGAGUUAUAGCCACAUGCAAGGCCAUGAAAAGUAAUACCCUUCAGGAGAGUGGAGUUUCCGGUAUUCUUGCUGAGCCAAAAAGACUAGGAGAGAAAGAGCCAUGCUACCCACCAAAGUAUUCAGAAGUACAGGGUGGGCUUCAGAGAAAACUAGAAGAUUCUGCUUUGAACACAGAUAAGUAACUUCCACUUCAGUUUACCUCUAUAUACAGUGGAGUUCUGCAGGAUGGAGAGAGUGUGGAUAGCAGAUUACAGUUGCUUAUAGCUUCCUGCAGCCUUAUCUCUUCCUAAACCUUACCAUCUCCUCCAUCACCUCCUAUGCCCCUCAGACUCAGAGAAGGCAAGAAUCAACCAAAGGCAAAUAGGUAUUUUUAAAAACUUACCGAAAACUUGAUACAUCUUAACCUAUUUAUCCUGACAAAGUCAGUUCAAAAGUCCUCUCCUCCAUCAGCCUCACUUGGCUUCCCAUGCCACUCCACAAGAAAGAGUUGGUUCCUCCUUCCUGUGGAUGGGCCUAAAGGCACUGUGUUUAGCCUUUCUGAUGUUCAUGGGUCAGUAUUCUCCUGAUGCUAUGGUUUGAAUGUUUGUCCCCUCAGAAACUCAUGUUGAAACAUAAUCUCCAAUUUAACAGUAUUAAGAGAUGGGGUCUUUAAGAAGUGAUUGGGUUAUGAGGGCUCUUUCCAUAACCCAAUGGAUAAACAGAUUAAUGAAUUAACAGAUUAAUGGGUUAAUGGAUUAAAUGGAUUAAUAGAUUAAUGGGUUAAUGGAUUAAAUGGGUUAUCACAUGAAUGGGGUGGUUAUCACAAGAGUAGAUAUGUUAUAAGAGCCAGUUUGGCUCUCGGUGCAACCCCCCUAUUACCCUGGGAUGCCUUCCACAAUGUUAUGACACAGCAUGAAGCCCUCACCAGAAGCCAACCAGAUGCAACCACUUGAUCUUGGACUUCUCAGCCUCUAGAACUGUAAGUAAUACAUUUAUUUUCUUUAUAAAUUACCCAGUCUGUGGUAUUCUGUUAUAGCAACAGAAAAUGGACUAAGGCACCUGACUUGGAAGUCCUCAAGAACAGAACUGUGACUUAGUCAUGUUUGAUGCUCAGAGCCAAGCCUAAUUCCCAGCACAGAGAUGCUGCUCCAUAAAGUUUUGCUCCCCAAAUGCUCACUUCCCUCAAGGCUCUGGCUAUAAUGUGCAGUCAAAACCCUACAGAGGGGAAAGCAACCCAGCUGGGUAGCCAGGAAAGAAGCCAGAUCUGGGGUAGGGAAGCUCAGUUCAUUGAGGAACAUCCCACAAGAGAAAAUGAGAUCAAGACAGUUCAGGGGAAUUUCUGAAUGGUGAGUUUUUGUGCUGAGUUUUUUCCUGGAUUGCCUUGGCGUGCUCAAUUCAGUGUAACAUUUGGCUGCAUGCCCUCCCCUAGGCACACUGUUGGUAUUUCAUGUCCCAUCUGCCAGUGUCUCUGGAGGACAUUAGGAUAAGUAGUUUGAUCCAGAAAGGAUACCCACUGUCCUGGCCCUCUGCCCAAGACAUGCAAAUGGAGAGCACUUCCCAGCCACAAAGCUUUUGCCUGUGCCAGUGAUGUAUUAUUUUUGCUAUUAUUAUCCAUAGCAACCAUGGAUUGAGCAUCUACUAGGUGCACCAUGCUAAGUCCUUUGCCUGCAUUCUUUCAUUUCAUCAUCGUUUAAAGAAUACAACAAGCAGAUAUUAUUAUCUCCAUUUUAGAAAUAAGGAAGUUGUGAUCCUAUAACUUAGUCACACAACUGAUAAAGGGCAGAGUAAAGAUUCACAUCCAGAUCUGGCAGACACCAAAGCCCAUUUUCCUCACACCAUGCUGUCUUGCCCAAAACUAACUAUUCAGAGGAUGAAACCAAUAACAAUAAGCCCACAUAGAAAAACCAAUGGAAAUUACCAAAGCUAUACUCUGAGGUAAAUUUGUAGUUUUCAAUUCUCACAUUUUUUAUUGAAACAUUCAAUUUAAGAAAUAUUUUUAAUAAUUUAAAAUCUCAAGUAAAGAAUAUAAAAUCAGGUACAUUAAUUUUAAAAUACAGAACAUCAGUAAAAUUGACAAAAUGGUCUUUGCCAUAAGACAGUGGCAGCCUAUGCCUUGCUCCCUCUGAAUGCAGGGUUCCCAGGAAUGAACUAAGGGACCUAAGAUGACACUGAUAAUGACAUGAAAGCUUUGCUUCUGGGAAAGACAAAUGCCCAGAGAUCUGGGAACACAUAAUGACAGUAGCUGUUGUACUUUGUGACCACUGACUAUGGGUUGGCAUAAGGGUCUGUGUUUCUGAGAGUUUGCCUGAUCAGCUUAAGUGAUUCUCACACCUGUCCAAGCCUCCAGGACACCUUUCUAAGCUAGACGCAACAGGAGCCUGAAAUUUGAGUCACAUUCCCACUUUUCCUGAAGACCAUCCUAUCCCUGGUAAGCCUAGCCCAAAUAUAGUCUAUCAGCUACAACAUCCAGCACGUGGCUGUGCCUUCCUCCAGAUUGGGGAAAUUUGGCAGGGGUCGAGAAGGAAAGAAAACAGAGAGUUUGUUUUUCCCUGCAUUUUAUUCCUAUGCUUAUAAGGCAGUCAUGAGAAACAAUGGUUCCACAGCUUUAAAUCUAGCAAAUAGAACUCCCUUUGAGAUUCCAGUUUGAAAGCUGGUGAAGAUCAGAGUAACUCCAUCGUUUAUGUAAUAAACACACACCCAAACCUGUAACAUUUUUAUAAUGAAACCUGGUGGUAAUAAAAUUUGCGUUAAGGUAAAAGCAGUCAUUUUCCCUUCAGCUUUUAUUGUGCUGAAUGCAGUAUCUGCCAAGUCCUACUUGAAGGCAUCUUUGAUUAAGGGCCUAGUCUUCCCACUUGUGAACCAUCCAGAGUUGGCAGGAGUACCAUGACAUUGCUGAGACUAAUGCCCAAAGAUAGCCAAACUCAUGACACGCCAGCAGCUUCAAAAAAGUUGAGCCCUCUGUCAAGUAGCCCUGUCACCACCACCACCCCCGCCCAGUCCCUUCCUGGUCUGUCAGCCACGUAUAGGCCUUGGAUCUUCAAGUCUUGAGGGAAAACUGGGUCGAGCUAUUCUAAAGGCUUUCUCAUCUUUCUUAUUGAGCCUAAACUGAAACUUCUGGCAGGGCCUUAUUUCUUUGGUACUCUCCCAUUACUUAGUUCUUCAGGCCUAAUAAAUAAAGACUAUCUGGCUGUUGGACGCUCUCUCCUGAAUCCACUGAUCUGUAUGAAAAUGUAUGAAUGUAGGCCCUUAGUUGUCUUCCUUGGUUCCCUGAGGGGAAUUGGGGGUUUGGGUGGAAGUGCAGUUCUUACUUCUUACGGCUGCACAUUGGAAUCCACCUGGGGAGUUUUAAAAACAUGCACUGUUAUCGGGACCCACUCCCAGAGAUUCUGAUUUGAUUGGUCUGAGGUGUUUAAUUGUUAUAAUUGGCCUGCCCAUCAAAUAAUGGUUAUUUAUCAUAAAUAUAUAUGAUAUUAGGGACUUGCAUUUGAACAACUUCUCUGCCAUAAAAUUCAGAAACCACAAUGUCCUGAACAAACUGAUAGAGGCUCCAUGACACCCAUUGGAAGCUGCCUGGUUCACAGGAAUGCUUCCUUCUUCUCCUGAGCGAUCUUAAGUAACAAAGCUGCACACAACAGUGCUUCCCCAUCAUCAUGGCCUGGAAAGGCAGCUCAGAGAGAGUGUUCUCAGACAGCAGGUAGGACAAACCCUUCAUUAAGAAAGGCUGCAUACACGGUGUUGGUAGCUGUUGGGCUAAUAGGAGACCCUUGAAACUUGGCCCUGUGUCAGCCUCCGCAGAGGCAGUGGAGGCAAAUGUGCAGUGAAGGGGUUUAGCUGAGGCAAGGAGAGUGGCCAGCGUCAACUGUCACACUGGCCACCUCCUGCAGAACAACCUAAUAGCGCAUAGCAAGAAAUGAAAGUAAGGCACUGUCCUUGACAUUAAGGAGCCUGAGUUACAACUGAAGGACUAAUAACCCCAGUGUUGGAAGAAUACUGUAAAAAGUUCAAUGCUUUUCAAAUAGGGUUCAAUUGCAUGGCCAAACUUAUGUGAUAAAGAAGUAUAGUGAAGGAGGGCUUAGAGGGCUAAAGAAAUCAAGACAGGCCCCACAGUGGUUUAACAGAUUUGUGUAAGGCCAUUGAAGAUGUAACAGAAACGAGAGGUUGGGGGAUUUGGGUCUGGGGACUCUCAGUUUAGGGCUGUUUUGGGGACACUGGGAGAUAAACAAGUCUUUCUCUGUAAUCUCAGGAUGAAGGUAAGAUACUGAAGAAUUCCAAGAAGACUGGAGGGGGCAGUGCUGGAGGAGAAGAAAGCAACAUAGGGCCUGGUGCAAGCCCAUGCAGGAUGGGGCCCCUUCCCAGAAGUCCUGAGCUAGAGCCCCGGAAUCCUGCCCUGGAAUCUCUACUGGAGCUACCCUCUGGCCCUUCUUUAAGACGUUCAAAUGUCGGAGCAGAAGAGGAGAAGGAAGAAAGGGUUGUCCUCUUUGUCUUGGGUAGUUUGAUGCCUCAGAAGGAGAGCAAAGGCGAAAACGUUGGCCAGCCAGUAUGAACAAUGCAAGGUCCUCAAAGCUUAGGAGCCACUGACCCUAAAUGUCAAAGUCAGCCUUGAGUGAGGGUCAAGUGCAGAUUCCCCUCCUCACAGCUGUUCCUGUGAAAGGGCUCACUUUCAUUGGGAAACAUAGUUAUCUUCUCUCCCAGAAUAGGAAGUGGCUACAGCACAAGCCCCUCUUCGUUAGACCCAGCCUCCCCCUCCCCUUUGUCUUGCCAAGAAAUGCUGCAAACCCCAAAUACCUGCAUUCUUGGGCAUGCAGCAGGCCAGAGCCAUGCUUGGAUUCCCGCUCUGCUCCUUAAGGAAGGGCCUUUUCUUUUAUGCAAAGACG
rnacentral:lncRNA from 1 species